rnacentral:rRNA from 1 species
GGGCGAAAGCCUGACCCAGCAACGCCGCGUGUGCGAUGAAGGCCUUCGGGUCGUAAAGCACUUUUCUGGGAGAUGAGAAAGGACAGUAUCCCAGGAAUAAGUCUCGGCUAACUACGUGCCAGCAGCCGCGGUAAAACGUAGGAGGCGAGCGUUAUCCGGAUUCACUGGGCGUAAAGCGCGUGCAGGUGGCGCGGUAAGUUGGGCGUGAAAUCUCCCGGCUCAACUGGGAGAGGUCGUCCAAUACUACCGUGCUUGAGAGCAGAAGAGGAAGAUGGAAUUCCCGGUGUAGUGGUGAAAUGCGUAGAUAUCGGGAGGAACACCAGUGGCGAAGGCGAUCUUCUGGUCUGUUUCUGACACUCAGACGCGACAGCUAGGGUAGUAAACGGGAUUAGAGACCCCGGUAAUCCUAGCCGUAAACGAUGUGAACUUGGCGUUGGUGGGUUAAACUCCAUCAGUGCCGUAGCAAACGCGAUAAGUUCACCGCCUGGGGACUACGGCCGCAAGGUUA